UACGAAGGGGGCUAGCGUUGUUCGGAUUUACUGGGCGUAAAGCGCACGUAGGCGGAUCGAUCAGUCAGGGGUGAAAUCCUGGAGCUCAACUCCAGAACUGCCUUUGAUACUGAAGAUCUUGAGUUCGGGAGAGGUGAGUGGAACUGCGAGUGUAGAGGUGAAAUUCGUAGAUAUUCGCAAGAACACCAGUGGCGAAGGCGGCUCACUGGCCCGAUACUGACGCUGAGGCACGAAAGCGUGGGGAGCAAACAGGG
rnacentral:rRNA from 1 species